GGGGGAAUAUUGGACAAUGGGCGAAAGCCUGAUCCAGCCAUGCCGCGUGUGUGAAGAAGGUCUUCGGAUUGUAAAGCACUUUAAGUUGGGAGGAAGGGUUGUAGAUUAAUACUCUGCAAUUUUGACGUUACCGACAGAAUAAGCACCGGCUAACUCUGUGCCAGCAGCCGCGGUAAUACAGAGGGUGCAAGCGUUAAUCGGAAUUACUGGGCGUAAAGCGCGCGUAGGUGGUUAGUUAAGUUGGAUGUGAAAUCCCCGGGCUCAACCUGGGAACUGCAUUCAAAACUGACUGACUAGAGUAUGGUAGAGGGUGGUGGAAUUUCCUGUGUAGCGGUGAAAUGCGUAGAUAUAGGAAGGAACACCAGUGGCGAAGGCGACCGACCUGGACUGAUACUGACA
rnacentral:rRNA from 1 species